AGAGUUUGAUCCUGGCUCAGGAUGAAUGCUGGCGGCGCGCCUAACACAUGCAAGUCGAGCGGAAAGGCCCUUCGGGGUACUCGAGCGGCGGACGGCUGAGUAACGCGUGGGAACAUGCCCCAAAGUGAGGAAUAACUGCCCGAAAGGGUAGCUAAUGCCGCAUAUGAUCUUCGGAUUAAAGGAUUUAUCCGCUUUGGGAGUGGCCCGCGUACGAUUAGGUAGUUGGUGAGGUAAAGGCUCACCAAGCCCACGAUCGUUAACUGGUCUGAGAGGAUGAUCAGUCAGACUGGAACUGAGACACGGUCCAGACUCCUACGGGAGGCAGCAGUGAGGAAUCUUCCACAAUGGGCGAAAGCCUGAUGGAGCGACGCCGCGUGCAGGAUGAAGGCCUUCGGGUUGUAAACUGCUUUUAUAAGUGAAGAAUAUGACGGUAACUUAUGAAUAAGCACCGGCUAACUACGUGCCAGCAGCCGCGGUCAUACGUAGGGUGCAAGCAUUAUCCGGAGUGACUGGGCGUAAAGAGUUGCGUAGGUGGUCAGUAAAGUGAAUAGUGAAAUGUGGCGGCUCAACCGUGCACACUAUUAUUCAAACUCACUGACUCGAGAAUGGUAGAGGUAACUGGAAUUUCUAGUGUAGGAGUGAAAUCCGUAGAUAUUAGAAGGAACACCAAUGGCGUAGGCAGGUUACUGGACCAUUUCUGACACUAAGGCACGAAAGCGUGGGGAGCGAACCGGAUUAGAUACCCUGGUAGUCC
rnacentral:rRNA from 1 species